rnacentral:rRNA from 1 species
CCUACGGGAGGCAGCAGUGGGGAAUAUUGCACAAUGGGGGAAACCCUGAUGCAGCGACGCCGCGUGAAGGAAGAAGUAUUUCGGUAUGUAAACUUCUAUCAGCAGGGAAGAAAAUGACGGUACCUGACUAAGAAGCUCCGGCUAACUACGUGCCAGCAGCCGCGGUAAUACGGAGGGGGCAAGCGUUAUCCGGAUUUACUGGGUGUAAAGGGAGCGUAGGCGGCGAUGCAAGUCUGUAGUGAAAGCCCGGGGCGCAACUCCGGGACUGCUUUUGAAACUGUAUGGCUAGAUUGCAGGGUAGGCAAGUGGAAUUCCUGGUGUAGCGGUGAAAUGCGUAGAUAUUAGGAGGAACACCAGUGGCGAAGGCAGCUUGCUGGACUGUAAAUGACGCUGAGGCUCGAAGGCGUGGGGAGCAAACAGGAUUAGAUACCCGUGUAGUC